rnacentral:rRNA from 1 species
UACGGGGGGGGCAAGCGUUGUUCGGAAUUACUGGGCGUAAAGGGCUCGUAGGUGGCCAACUAAGUCAGACGUGAAAUCCCUCGGCUUAACCGGGGAACUGCGUCUGAUACUGGAUGGCUUGAGUUUGGGAGAGGGACGCGGAAUUCCAGGUGUAGCGGUGAAAUGCGUAGAUAUCUGGAGGAACACCAGUAGCGAAGGCGGCACUCUGGGCCGGAACUGACGCUGAGGAGCGAAAGCGUGGGUAGCAAACAGG